UCUAGCUGGUCAGGAUACUCGGCU
rnacentral:siRNA from 1 species